AUUUUUAUAUCUUAUCGCAACUGAAAAUAGAACUACAACUAUGACAAAACACUAAUCUGAUAAAACUUAAUUAAAACAAGAAAAAAAAAAUCUAAGGGAUAGAAAUAGGUAUAGUAGUGGGUCUUGACCCACAAAAAAAUACACAUUUGCAGGUUCUUACACCACGUUCAUUAAUUAUACAAGUUCCUUCAGUAAUAGCACGUCCUGUUCCUUGCACACAUUUACUGAAGCAUCCAUCUCUUAGUCCUAUAUUGCAUAUUUCAAAUCCUAUGUCAACUCUGCAUGUCUUGAUUCCAUACACAUCUGCAUCCACAAAAUUAAAAUAACUUUCUCAUCUUUGAAUGUCAAAAGUGGACAAAAAUGAAAAAUAAAAAGUUUAGUCAUUUUGGGAAUUAGCCGAUAUGUAUAAAUCGUCCGCACGAACAAAGGAUUAAUCUCAUGGUCAGAGGUUACAAUUUAAACUCUAGUUACAGUCAAAUUUCUUUGUAACAAUGUUAUUAAUUAUUUCUAUUCUUUUUUGUUGUUUCAGUAAAAUACUGUUAUAGAUAACAUGUAAUAUAAGACAACAUAAAGACUAAUUCCAAAAUAAAUUUGGUCAUUAUAGUAAAAUAUUAUUAUAAAGGAUAGUUGUUAUAUAGAAGUUUGACUGCAUAUCAUUUAGAAUUGGACGGCCUCCCAACCACUUGUUGAUUUAUUGGAUUCCAAUCUCCUUUAUAACUAUGUAAAAGAAAUUGAGGAUAAUUAAAAACAGAUUAGAUCUGAGAGAAAACUCUAAAUUAGGUGAAAUAAAAAUAUUUAAUGAGAAACCUGAUACAACAGCAAAAAGGAUGAUUAGAAUUGCCAGUGAUUUGAAGGACUUUUCCAUCGUCUAUAUUUGAUGAAUGAU
rnacentral:lncRNA from 1 species